UACGUAGGCAGCGAGCGUUGUUCGGAGUUACUGGGCGUAAAGAGUGCGUAGGCGGUUUUCUAAGUUUGGUGUGAAAUCCCCGGGCUUAACCUGGGAACUGCAUUUGGGACUGGAAGGCUAGAGUAUGGCAGAGGGGGGUGGAAUUCCACGUGUAGCAGUGAAAUGCGUAGAGAUGUGGAGGAACACCGAUGGCGAAGGCAGCCCCCUGGGCCUAUACUGACGCUCAUGCACGAAAGCGUGGGGAGCAAACAGG
rnacentral:rRNA from 1 species